UACGUAGGGGGCUAGCGUUGUCCGGAAUCAUUGGGCGUAAAGCGCGCGUAGGCGGCCCGGUAAGUCCGCUGUGAAAGUCAAAGGCUCAACCUUUGAAUGUCAGCGGAUACUGCCAGGCUAGAGUCCGGAAGAGGCGAGUGGAACUCCUGGUGUAGCGGUGGAAUGCGCAGAUAUCAGGAAGAACACCAGCGGCGAAGGCAGCUCGCUGGGACGGAACUGACGCUGAGGCGCGAAAGCGUGGGGAGCGAACAGG
rnacentral:rRNA from 1 species